rnacentral:rRNA from 1 species
UACGUAGGUGGCAAGCGUUGUCCGGAAUUAUUGGGCGUAAAGCGCGCGCAGGCGGUCCUUUAAGUCUGAAGUGAAAGCCCUCGGCUCAACCGAGGAGGGUCAUUGGAAACUGGAGGACUUGAGUGCAGAAGAGGAAAGUGGAAUUCCAAGUGUAGCGGUGAAAUGCGUAGAGAUUUGGAGGAACACCAGUGGCGAAGGCGACUUUCUGGUCUGUAACUGACGCUGAGGCGCGAAAGCGUGGGGAGCAAACAGG